GCUGCAGGUGGCUCAGUGGUUAGCACUGUUGCCUCACGGCAAGAAGGUCCUGGGUUCUAAUCCCGGCCGUCCCA
rnacentral:tRNA from 1 species